UAGGGAAAUCUUCNUGCAAUAGGACGGAAGUCUGACCGAGCAACGCCGCGUGAGUGAAGAAGGUUUUCGGAUCGUAAAGCUCUGUUGUAAGAGAAGAACGAGUGUGAGAGUGGAAAGUUCACACUGUGACGGUAUCUUACCAGAAAGGGACGGCUAACUACGUGCCAGCAGCCGCGGUAAUACGUAGGUCCCGAGCGUUGUCCGGAUUUAUUGGGCGUAAAGCGAGCGCAGGCGGUUAGAUAAGUCUGAAGUUAAAGGCUGUGGCUUAACCAUAGUACGCUUUGGAAACUGUUUAACUUGAGUGCAAGAGGGGAGAGUGGAAUUCCAUGUGUAGCGGUGAAAUGCGUAGAUAUAUGGAGGAACACCGGUGGCGAAAGCGGCUCUCUGGCUUGUAACUGACGCUGAGGCUCGAAAGCGUGGGGAGCAAACAGGAUUAGAUACCCUGGUAGUCCACGCCGUAAACGAUGAGUGCUAGGUGUUAGACCCUUUCCGGGGUUUAGUGCCGCAGCUAACGCAUUAAGCACUCCGCCUGGGGAGUACGACCGCAAGGUUG
rnacentral:rRNA from 1 species